rnacentral:misc_RNA from 1 species
GAUGAAGAACCCAGCGAAAUGCGAUAAGUAAUGUGAAUUGCAGAAUUCAGUGAAUCAUCGAAUCUUUGAACGCACCUUGCGCCUUUUGGUAUUCCGAAAGGCACACCUGUUUGAGCGUCAUGAAUACCUCAAUCUCCAUCUUUUCUUCGGAUUGAUGGGUGACUUGGAUGUUGAGCCCUGCUGGUAUGCUAUAUCAGCUGGCUUUAAACUUAUUAGCCGGCUCUGUACUGGAUCGGUUUGACUCGACGUGAUAAUAUUAUCGUUGAGGAUGCAUGUCUCAUGCAGCCGGAAAGUAUCAAAGCAGCUUCUAGCUUGCCUUUAGUGCACUUUUACAUUUUAGACCUCAGAUCAGGUGGGACUACCCGCUGAACUUAAGCAUAUCAAUAAGCGGAGGA